AGAGUUUGAUCAUGGCUCAGAGCGAACGCUGGCGGCAGGCCUAACACAUGCAAGUCGAGCGCCCCGCAAGGGGAGCGGCGGACGGGAGAGUAACACGUGGGAACGUACCCUUCAGUUCGGAACAACCAAGGGAAACUUUGGCUAAUACCGAAUACGUCCGUAAGGAGAAAGAUUUAUCGCUGAAGGAUCGGCCCGCGUCUGAUUAGCUAGUUGGUGGGGUAAUGGCCCACCAAGGCGACAAUCCCUACCUGGGCUGAGAGGAUGAUCAGCCUCACUGGGACUGAGACACGGCCCAGACUCCUACGGGAGGCAGC
rnacentral:rRNA from 1 species